ensembl:lncRNA
AGACGGCAGCCCACCAGGCUCCCCCGUCCCCGGGAUUCUCCAGGGAUCGCCUGGGCGCCCUGGUGAGGAACAGACUUCAGGGGACCAAGGGUGGAGGCAGGAUGACCAACACGGAAGCUGACGCAGCUAGAAAGCAAGUCAAGAUUUACCUUCGUGGACUCCCCGGAUAUCUCAAGGAAGCUGGUGGGACCAUUCCACGCAUUUUCUCUUUGAACCGAGAAGUUAUAUUUAGUCCAAAUGAGAUGGCACAGUUGCUGGAGGCAGAGUGGGGCUGGAUGAGUGAGUGGGGAUAUUCUGAAGAUCAUUCUGUAAAGCUGGCCUUAAACCUGAAGUUACCCCUGCUGACCCCUGGCGCUUACUUGGGAACAUUUGAAGGACGCUCCAUUCAGGGCCUGAACCCAGGCAUGAGAACAGAGGAAAAGAGAAAAUAAACCCCAACUUUAUCACUUCAGACUUGGAACUCAGAAAAACUUUGACUCCAGUUUGGGAUGAAGUCAGAAUGGAUUCUUUUGCUCAUAUCUGCACAACCUUCUUUCAAAGAAGAGGGGGGGGGGGAAAAAGUCCAUUUGUAUCUUUUUUUUCAGAUUCUGCAAAUAAACGUUAUCAUGUGCUAUCUGUCUCUCUCUGUCUGACUUACUUCACUUAUGAUAAUCUCCAGGUUCAUUCCUGUUGCAGCAAAUGGUGGU